UUGGAAUGUUAUAAGUUCAACAUAUGUUAUUUCAGCAUUGCCGGAACUAAAUUCGAAAUCCUCCGGAGAAAAGAUGAUUUGUGUUUUCUUAAUUAAAAAAGUUUCAGUAUUCACCGGAUAUGACGUAUUGAUUAGCAAGAUUCUAUAGACUGUCAAAGCAGAUAAACCUUACAUAUCAAGCAGCCAUAAAUAUGUGGAUUGCGUAAGUCAAACAAUCCUUUAUCAUGGACUCAUGUGGUUUGCAAUUACUUGAUCAGAUCCUCAUUGGUUUCUGAAGGAUUAAAUUUCUCUCAUAAAUGGUUAUUUGAUCAUUUACUCUUGUAUGAAUUUUCAGCUGAGAAUCUUACUAACUGCCAUUAAUUUAUUUGCAAGACAAAGAUAGUCGUUUUGUUUUUCUCAACCAUUUGGUUCGUGGAAUUGAUGUGUCAGUAUCUUUUGUCUAUAAACGUAAAAAUAAUCUUUUGACAAUUAAAUUUUGUUAAAGUAGGAUAAGAAAUUAACUAGAGAUAACACCUUCCUAUGAUAUUUAGUUUGUAAAUGAAUCUAUGAGAAAUUGAAAACGAAAACAAAAACAAAAAGAGAAGGUAAUGAAGAAAUAAUGAAGGAUUAAAGAUCAAACGGUUGAGAAGUGAGGUGGUACAUAUUACGCAAAAGUAAGAAGGUACAGAGGAUACUUAUCCCUGACGCAAGUGAGAAGCUCAAGUUGUGUAGCAUGUGCUUUGCCUUUCCGACACACCAUCGCAUGCAUCUUCACUUCUACUUCAUACCAUCCCUUAUGUUCCUCUCUCUCUUUCUCUUUCUCUUUAUCUACAUUUUAUUCUCUCUUUUUCUUUUCCUA